rnacentral:rRNA from 1 species
AGAACGAACGCUGGCGGCAUGCCUAACACAUGCAAGUCGAACGUGAUCCAGGCUUCGGCCUGGUGAAAGUGGCAGACGGGUGAGUAACGCGUGGGAACCUGCCCUGUGGUAGGGAAUAACCGUGGGAAACUGCGGCUAAUACCCUAUGAGUCCUUCGGGAGAAAGAUUUAUCGCCAUAGGAGGGGCCCGCGUCGGAUUAGGUAGUUGGUGGGGUAACGGCCUACCAAGCCUUCGAUCCGUAGCUGGUCUGAGAGGAUGAUCAGCCACACUGGGACUGAGAUACGGCCCAGACUCCUACGGGAGGCAGCAGUGGGAAUAUUGGACAAUGGGCGCAAGCCUGAUCCAGCCAUGCCGCGUGAGUGAUGACGGCCUUAGGGUUGUAAAGCUCUUUCGCUAGGGACGAUAAUGACGGUACCUAGACAAGAGCCCGGCUAACUUCGCGCCAGCAGCCGC